UACGGAGGGUGCAAGCGUUAUCCGGAUUCACUGGGUUUAAAGGGUGCGUAGGUGGGCAAGUAAGUCAGUGGUGAAAUCUCCGGGCUUAACCCGGAAACUGCCAUUGAUACUAUUUGUCUUGAAUACUGUGGAGGUCAGCGGAAUAUGUCAUGUAGCGGUGAAAUGCUUAGAUAUGACAUAGAACACCAAUUGCGAAGGCAGCUGGCUACACAGAUAUUGACACUGAGGCACGAAAGCGUGGGGAUCAAACAGG
rnacentral:rRNA from 1 species